rnacentral:rRNA from 1 species
UCCCAGCAGUCCAAGUCGCAUCCACAUUUAUUGGGUCUAAAACAUCCGUAGCUUGUUAAUUAAGUCUCUUGUGAAAUCGGGCAUCUUAAGUGUCCGGCGUGCAAGAGAUACUGUUUAACUCGAGACCGGGAGACAUAAGAAGUACAGAGGGAGUAGCGGUAAAAUGCGUUGAUCCUCUCUAGACUAACAACAGCGAAGGCAUCUUAUGAGAACGGAUCUGACAGUGAGGGAUGAAGGCUAGGGGAGCAAACGG